GUACCUUGGUUAAAGGUUCAAUCCCUAGCCCCAGUCUGGGUGUGCAGGAGCAACCAGUGAAUAUGUCUCUCUCACAUCAAUGUUUCUCUCCCUCUGUCU